rnacentral:ncRNA from 1 species
UUGUCGGCAAUGAAGGGACGAGUAGUAAGUAUAAACUUUUAAGAGAGCUGGUGGUGGGUGCGAACCAGUAAGUUUUACUUAUGAAUUCCAUCCCGGAGCUAAGGUAUAAUGACCUUCGGGCGACCGUUAAAUCAUGUGGAGGGCUUAUUUAAGCCAAAAGAGGGUGGCAACACGGCAUUCCCGUCCCUUUA